UUGAGCGUCGGUGCGGACUGACUCUACUCUGGAAAUUAACUUUAUGAACAUGAAGUCCGCUUUUACUGGUGAAAAAGAGUGCCUUUUUUUCAAUUCGAUACGUUCACAUCCUCCUGGUUCAAUAAAUCCUUACUGUCUGUGCAUGAAUUUUCAAAAGAAAACUUGGAACUGCUUUGGUCCUGUUUGUUUGCUCGUCUAAGAACAGAACCUCUGUCCAGAUCUGGCUCGGUCCAAACCGGAGACUAAAACCUCCAUCGCACCCGGACCAUUGCUGGGCCAGGUCCGAUCACCCGGUCCGAGCCUCCAUGUGUUCUGUACUUCCUCCUGCGCGCACAUUCUGUACUCAAUUUAGGGACAGUCGUGUGAGUGCUGCUGUUGUGGAUCUCUGGUUUCUCUCAACCGCGGGAUUUUUGGUAAGUGUUUUCUCGUCCUUCCCUGUAUCUCAGAUCGUAUAUGAAUAAUUUAGAGUUUUUAAAAAGCAUUAUGAAUGGAUGCUUCAAUCUUGAACACGCAUUUAUUUAUUUAAAUAUAUAAAUGUGCUGUGCAAAGUUGCAAAAUCUACGUCAAAAUACAUAGGUAGAGCCUCAUGUUUGUUUUCUGUAAGAAUAUAGAUGAAUAAUACUAAAAAUAAAUAAAUAUAAAACACCAAGAAAAAUAGUUUGAUGCCUUGUAUUACUUCAAGCAUUUUUAUAUAAUUUAUUUAAUUUCUGGAUUCUGGGAUUAAACCAUUGGGGUCAAACAAGAACAUUAAAAAAUAUAUUUUAUUUAAAAAAAAAAGUUCCAUCAAUACAUUAUUUUGUCAUGGGAUGUUAAAACAAAGUGAAGAUGCUUUUAAUAGCUUUAGAAGAAUGUAAACAUGCCUUCAAAAGUAUUAUGACAUUUCAUAACUUUCUAGAAAAAUGUGCUCUAUCAGGAAUUACUGAAAGUUAUUCAGAGAUCUUUAACAUGACAUCUGGGGUGAAAAGGUCACGGACAGUGUCGCCUCCCCCGUCUAGACAGACAGAACCACGCAAGGAUUUGCAGAUUAUCUAACCCCUGCUCAGGCCAGACAGCUCCAAAUCUGCUCACUAUAAUCUAAUCUAUGCCGGCGAUCAUAAUUUGUGAACCCAUUCAUGAGUUAUCAAUGACACAUUUGAAGUGUCGUGCAGGGCUCAGGACUUUACCUGGAAAGUGACGCUGCUGCUAUUCAUGGAGGGUUUCUCCUCAGGGUCGAAAGAGGUCAGCGGUGAAGCUGACGUCACUCAACCUGAAUAACCCAGGUUAUUUUAAUCCACACAGAUCAGUGAAUUUUUAUCCCUGCAUCCUGCUUCUUUUAUGUUUCGACAACACGGCUCCUUGUGACACCCAAAUGAUUUGACUGAUCACUGAGCUGUGGUGAUUCAAUUUCUGACCGACCAAUGGAAAACUCAAACCUGCCUCCGCCGCGUCAGACUCCCACUGAAUCAUUGAGGUCAGUGCGCAGACGUCCUCCUCUAAUAGCAGAGCAGUGUUGUUACUGUCAACGUCUUUAACAACAAUGGCGUUGAAUGUGAGCAUGUUUAAACACAACCCACUAGAAUGUCUUAUUGUUGACAAUAAACUCCUGAUGAUCCGGACUUUUUUUCCCAUAUCAUUUCAUCAACCAAUAGUGUGCCACCUACAACCCGGACGAAGUAGUUUUGUUCUUUCUUUAGACCAGAAAAAAAUAAACAAAUAUUUGUGAUAUAGUUUUCCUUCUAAGGAGGACUACAAUGCUCUGAGGGAUGAGUGUAAUAUUCGUUUGAGGACACACUGUGGUCAUCAUGUUGCUGAUCUCAUUCAAUCAUAUUAAUUCAAAAUUGUCUCAUAAGAUUUCUGUUUUUAAUUCAUGUCCCACUAACAUACUGAUGGUAACGCUAUCGAGUGUGAGCUUUACUUUAAGGUCCCUGUGUUGGACCUGUGACUGGACCAGCGCCACCAGAUGGCGCUGUCUGCUGCAAAAUGUUUGGACUGGAAAUUCUGAAUUCAUUCUGAAUCAAGGACGCUAUGUAGUGGCCUCUCAAAAUGAGGACACUGUUUCAUCAACCCUGCAAUACUGUUUCAUGACACCGCAUCUGCCCAUCACUAGUUCCUACUUGUACAACUCCUUUUAAGUUUUUCUGAGGACUGGCGUGACCCUUGACCUAGACCCGGUCUGGUUUAAGAGGCCACAUUGGUCUUCAUUUUACUGUCUUGGUUGAACUGGCAAAGUGAAGCUGUAGUUGUCUUGACUUCAGUUGAAGCGUCAUUUAAACUGCUGUCGUGCCUGAAGAGCUUCCCACCUGGACUGUACUGUCAUUUUCAUGACUGUAUUGUAUUAAUGUCUUUUCUUCUUCCUUUGCAUUAUUUAUCCAGCUGCAUCUCCACCUUGUUGAUCUACCCUGUUAAUUCAUCCAGAACGGCUGCAGCUGUGAGGGCCGGAUGUUUGCCACGUUCUCCUUCACACCUGAGAAGAAACAGGUUUUACUCAUGGACCUGUAGACGCGAAGGUCGGAGUCUCCCAGCGGUGCGACGACUUGAAAAGCACAUUGUUAUGUAAGGACACAUGACUGUGCUGGACUUGCAUUUGGAACCUGAAUCCAGAAAAAGAGCUGAGCUAAAAGGAGCGGCUUGUUUUCUCACUGAAAAAAAAGCAGACCAUCGCCUAUCUGUAUAGGCGAUGGUCUGCUGUAUAGAGAGCGUCCGAAUCAUGAGCGACAAUCGCGGCUCUUGUUUGUCAAUGUUAGAAUUAAACGUGUUGAUUUGUGAGAUUCCCAAGUGAAACCUUUCCACCAGCAGAUUACGUAACACCUCUCUGAAAAUCCAAAUGGACCGGAAACAUCAGCCUGAAGUUUUUUAACGUCAGCUCAACUAAGCGCACGCUCGAAUAGCUGACUGAUUCAGUUUCUGACGCAGAUAAAAUGUUCAUAUGUCUCUCACCUUGACAUUAAAUCCAACAUAGAACUUCUGUGAGAGUUGUGCAAUAACCUAUUUUAAUCUAGUUUAAUUUAUUUUAUUUUUUUAAUUUAUUUUUUUUACUCUCUGUGUGAUGCUCUUCCUGACUGCACGCCCUUUCUUGACUCUAUUGCUGCUGGAAAUGUACAUUUCCUGGAGGGAGUCUUCCCAAAGGGAUCAAUAAAGUCUAAG